CAUAUUUUUUUCUCUGUUUCAAAAAGAGUGUCUAGUGGUCUGGGGAUUGCAACAUAUGGUACAGAGCAGACACAAUCCAAUUAACAUAGGAUUCAUAACAACAUAUUGUGACUGAUCUCUAUAGCCUCAGAGCAUAUUGGUUUGUGUUAUCGGUUUAAUCUAAAUAUUGUCACCUGUUCCUCAAGAUGAGCCAAAGGUGGAACAUGGCUUAAAACUGUCUUGUCUAAAAUAUCUGUUUCAUUGCAAUGCAUAGAACCAAAGAGGUGGAGGCUGCUUGUUCUUUGACAAGCAAUUUACCUCUUUGGGCUUCAGUUUCAUCAUUUAUGAAAACUGAGGCUUGAUUUGAUUACGUGGUUAAGACUAUAAUAAAUAAUUUGUAACAGGUAGAUAUAGGAGCUAUAAAAAUAAGAUAAAUGCAGAGAGGUAGAAAUAAAGCUCAGGAUUUGGGGUCAGAAAGCCUGGUUCAAAUCCAUGCUUUGCCACUUACCAGCUGGGCGACUUUGGAGAAGAUGCUAGAUCUCUACAUGGCAUCAUCUGUAAUGCUGAAAUAAUGGCACCAGACUCACAGUGUUGUUAUGAUGAUUAAAUGAUAUGUAUAACAAAGGUUAUAUCAAAAGUUAUGGGACAAUUGCUCAAUAAAUGUUUAUUAUCAUCAUCCCAAGAAACUGUAUAGAACUAGAUUUGUUGGCAACUGGCAAUUAACUGACAGGAAAAACAAAGCAUUCUGAUUUGGGAAUAAAUGUGAUUCUUUUAACCCAAAUAUCCAGUUAGAUCUUUCAAGUGCUAAAUCCAGAUACAGGCUCUCAGUUCAAGGUCAUUGCCACAAAGCCUUAGGUAACUAUCUUGAGUAGAUUUAUUGAACAAUUAGCUUGUAAAUUCCAGCCACUCCAGAAACCGAAAUACAUUUCCUCUCUUUGUUAAAUGUGAGCAUGUAAUCCAAUAUGUUUCAAACCCUUGGUCAUAAUUUUAAAAUUUCCAUAUUUUAAUGUGCACAUUGCAGGGUGUAUAAAUAAUGCCUCUCUUUAAUGACAAUAAUGUCCUCUUGGCUAGCAUGACAUGUGCUCACUUCCUCCAUGUAAAAUUCCUCCACAAAAAGUUAAAUAGGUUGGGCUGGAAUGAGAGAUUUUGUUUUAAAAAUUCUCCAGUUCUCAGGUCAGAAAGUCUGUUGUCCCCUCUGCAAAUGAAGGAGGGGUGAGGACCUUGAAAUUGUUCCCAUUGUUUUCUCUCUGGGCUUGGACAUGGGCUGUACACUAAUGUCCAGUUAAUUUUAGAGUGGGUGUAGCUAAGAACUAAGUAAGUGUUCAAAAGCAACCAGUAAGCCUCAUGUCUCCUUUACAUAUUGAUCUUGUAGAAGGGGAAGAAGGGGGAAGGGAAGGGAAUUAGUUGAAUGAAAGUGGAAUUGUGCUCCAGGUGUGUUGCAUACCUUUUUGAAUCCUCAAAAUAACCCUGGGGUGGAUCCUCUCUUUAAUUAGAUGGAAAGACACAGAGAGGCUAAGUAAAUUAUUCAUGCUCACACAGCUAAAAAGAAGUGAGUGUGAUAACAACCCAGUUGCAACUGAAUCCAAACCCAGGUGUGUCUGAAUCUUUGAACAUUACAUAACCCUGAUCACCACAGGGUUGGGAGCAUUUAUCACAGUUUUUAGGGUUGAACAGGAAUUGAAGGGGUAAGGAUUCCUAUUUUUGUGGUUUCUAAGUAAUCUAUUAAAUACAAAAGUAUAUGGUAGGGUACCUUGAUAGAUGGGUUCCCUACAAGUGAUUAAAUUUGUGGACUUUUUUUUUUUUUUUCUAUUUUGGUCAAGACCAGUUGCCAGCUUCUUCCAAAUAAAAUAGCAGUAAAUCUCCUUGAAACAGAUCUUCCAUGUCCUGAAAAAAGUUACCUGAGUGGUAUCUCUUGGCUAAGCAAGUGUAGGGAGAGUAUGUUUCAUUGUUCUGCUGUUUUGAGAGCCUUAAGCAUCUUAUAUGGGAAGUGGUUCUCUGUGAGAAAGAGGAUUGGUAUGGAGGCACAGAUGCUGGGACAAGUCCUAGCCCUGCUCUUCUGAGGACAGUUCAUGCUCUGAGAACUCACAAUAGUAUGUGGGACACCUCAGGGAGCUGGUAACAUUUGGGGUACAGGCAGUGAUGUAUUUACUGGUAAACAAAUUCUCCAAAACAAAACAAAAACAACUAAAAGCUUUUGUUCUUUUCUCACCAUGGCUGAUCUAAAGCUACCAACAUGACAUAAAUGAGUGGGAAGAGACACAUGCAUUCUGGAUCUCCCCUGGAACCACAGGCUCCAGCUCACCCAAUGGUGGAGAUCUAUUAGUGUGUGAGGACUUCUGCACUGAAUGUUCCACUAGGGAAAAGGCUUCCUGGAAUGAGAGAGCUCUCAGUUUCUCUGCUAGGCCUCAGAUCUGAUUUUCAAAAUCAGCAUAGCUGGUGUAGCUAGCAUCCACCUCUGCUGCGGAGACACAAUUGUCAGUCUCUGCAUCUGUGAGCAACAGACAUAAUGCCACUUUGGCAUCCUAGGGAGAUUCCACUGCAGCCUGACUCUACUGCCUCUCCUCCGUAGGACAACUAACUAAAUGUCCCAUUCUCUCCACCUGGGGGUAGGGACCAGUGUCGGAGGUGAGAGCACUUUCUGGGAGAACACUUUCCUUGCCCUAUUUAGCUGGAGGUCCCCUUCAUUGAAAUUAAUGCUGGUGUGGGCUGCCAACCCUGGAAACCCACUGCUAAUGAGGAUGAUGGCUGAGCUGGGCACUUAGUCCAGGCUUAGCAUUUCCUAUAAGAGCCCUGAAGCUAGUUUCUGUUCAGGAGCUGGAGCAACAAGUCAGGAGGAGGCCAAAUGAACUCCUACCCCUCAAACAUGCACAGCGAUUUCUGGAUGCAUUGUGGGGAAUGGGGCUGCAAUCUGCCGAAGGAAAAGAUGGGAUUCUGUCCCCUAAGAAAAGUGAUUACGAGAUGCCCAGCAAAGACAAAUAUAUUUGUCCCUGUUGCUACAAUAGGAAGUUAACAAUCUGGCAAGAUAUCUGAACACAAGCAAAUGAAAACAGUUCACCUAACACCCAUUCAAAUUAUAAAUUUCCUCCCAUAUACAAAAUGAUGAGAAAUAACAGCAAAAAUGUAUAUUUUCUUAUUUUUGAACUUUGAAAGUUCUAGUUUGGUCUUUGAAUCAAAACAAAGUAAAAGAUGUUUAUAAAAGCCAUUUCCUUUUCUUUCCCCACUAUGCUCAUUUGACUUGCUCUUCCCCCUAUAGGGUACCCUGAGUCAUUCAGAGAAGGAGAAUUAAUAGCACUGAGUUGGUGAUGAAGCUCCUGUUAGGACAUAUGGCUUCACAAAAAGAAAUACUUCCAGAUAAGUCAGAGAGACAGUUGAACGUCUUGAGCAAAUCUUGAAAGAGAGGGAAGAAAGCAGAAGUUGUUGGGUGGUGCUUGUAAGAAAAAGGCUCACACGAUGAGGACCAGCUUCUUGUGGAUCUCCAGGUCUCUGACCACAGCACUGAAUUCCUCAAAGGAUAUCUUCCCAUCGCCAUCCUUGUCCAGGAUGAUGAUGGUUUUGUCGACCAGCUGCUGGAGCUGCCAGUCCGUCAGGUUGUUGCCCACCAUCAUCUUCAGCACCUGGAAGAGCUCCCCGUUGGAAAUGUAGCCAUCUUUAUCCAUGUCGUAAAUGCUGAACGCAAACCUCAACUUCUGCUCCUCGUUGCCCUUGACGCUGAACUGGGAGGUCCCCAGGAUGAAUUCCUUGAAGUCCACUUCUCCAUCACCGUCGGUGUCGAAGACGUCGAUCACUCGCCGCACCAACGGGUUGUGGCGCAGCUCCGGCAGGGACAUGAACUCCUCCACGCUCAGAGACCCUGAUUUGUCCAAGUCCAACUUCUUAAACCUCCUGCCCAGCCUUUUAAUUUCAUCAUUGUCAAAGUGGGAGCACAUCUCCGCCGGGUAACUGGCCUCGUUUCCCAUUGUGGACAUCUGGCAACGGCCACGGCUCACAGGGUCGGAGAGGGGAGCAGGGGCGGUGAGCUCGGGCGGGGCUCGUGCCCGGACGGUUGGGCCAUGGGGUGGGGGUAGAGGGCUCCCGGGGGCCCUGGUCGAGCAAAAGGGCAGGGGAGCGGAGGGAGGGGCGGCAGUAAACCCCAAAGGAGAAGGGAUCGCACCUGUGUUAUUCGCUGCAGUAUCCCAGAAGCACAGUGCUUCACAGGCAAUAUGUGCUUAAUAAAUAUACGCCGAAUGACUGAACUGCAACCAAGGACACUGUAUACUUGCUUUACAGACCUAGUGUAAGGAUGAAACAAGGACGUAGGAUUCAGAGUGUUUGUAAGAGACCAGGCAGAUACCGCGCAGAAUUUCUUACAUGAAUCACCUACAGGCACUAACAUAUUCCCGAGGAAUAUAAACAAUGCUGAAUUCAGGGCGUUUUUCAAGAUGACACAGGUCUCAAGAACACAACCUCUGUUACUCUGUUCCCUCUUAUCCAUCAUCUCAUGCCCGAGUCACAUCUUUGUUGUUGGUGCCUGGCGGCUAUUCUGCAGAAUACCUUGGGGGAACGUCUGCAAUGUGCCCAAAGAAGCCUUUUGUGUGUGUUGAGAGUGACAGUCGCCUCUGGAUGAUCUCGCUUUUCUCCUUUUGUUUCAACUAGAUUUGUUCUUUCUGUUGAAGACUAAUCUCACAUGCUCCCUCUUAUUCCUUCUUCCUUUUGGAGCGCAUCAAUUACUCCAAAUGCAUAAGAAACAAAUGUGGUUCAAGAGCAAACAGUUCAAAGGGACUUGGGGGAACCUCAGGCCACUACAUCAAACUGAAAGACGCAAACACUCCUUCGCUUUAAAAAAUGUUGGCAAGUUCUGUGUUCUAUAGUUCAGCCAAAAUAUCAGUCUAAAGAUAACCAUGCUGGAAUUAGCAAAACUAAGCCACUGAUCACCUUAUCAUUAAGUCUGGCUAUUUUACUUUCCUCUAUAAACAAAUGAUAAUCCAUGGAUAUGUUUUAAAGCUGAUUAUGGGCAUUACACAAAUGAAACCCCCUUUCCCAAUUAGACUGUUAUAUUGGAAUGUUUUUUUGUUUUACUUAUUUGCUUGCUUUUCAGUUAUUCAGAGAAAUGAGCAUGGUACAGUUUGCAUAUAAGCCUAUUGAAUUUGCAAUAUUAAGGAUACCACCUUAAAUUAUAUUACAAGAUGCCUAAAAUCAGUGUUGGUCUCUAAAUGAUACCAACCACUAUGGCCUGUGUUCUUUCUAAAGCACAAAGACCUUUCUGGACUCUCUGGGGGAAAUAUCCAGGCCCUGAAGGUGCAGUUCUGAAAAAAUCAGAAACCUCAGGGGCAAGGACAGAACUCUAUCUUUUGGGCAUGCACUGGGGCUGGGAGCCUCUAGAAUUGUGUUAUUUCUCUCAUCUUGUGUCUUUGACCACAGUGUAGUCCAGUUUCUUGGCUGCAAGUAAAAGAAUCUACCUCUAAGAAGCUUAGCAUGAAAGAUAAUUUGUUGGAAGAAUCUCACAUAAUCUAAAGAAGAGCUGAAUGAUUCAGUCUUAGGAAGGGUGAGGAUCCCACUGGGUUUAAGGAAAUAUUGGAACCAACGCCUCAGGACCAGUUAUGUAAUUUGCAGUGUCCUUUGUUUGAAAAUGAUUGAGAGCUUCAAGAUGGCCACAGCAGAACAUUAAACCAAGUACGGGACCUUAUGAGACUGCAUGGGCCACAUGCCCAUGAAGCUGGCCCUGCAAGGAGUUGGGCCCAUUGACCUCUCUGUGCCUUUCACCUCUGCUUCUCUUUCCUUCACUCUCUCCUAUGGUAAAGCAAUUCUUCCACAUUGCGGAGGACACAACCACUGACAGAUUCCAGGUUAAGACUUUGGGGAUUUUAUCAUCAGAAAAGACGGACUUUUCCCUGUUCUAGUUAGAUGCCCACAAAUCCCAGGAACAGGCUCUGAUUGUUCUCACUUGGGUUGGGUUCCCACCUAUGAGCCAUCAGACAUGGCUUAUAACAUAUGGGAGCUUCCAUUUGAACCUCAUGGAUGGAGCUGGUCGGGGGGAAGUGGGGGCUGGGUAGGAAGAGCAGGUACCAAAAGAAGCACAUGCUCUUCCUUAUAAGAACAGGGUAAUGCUGAGCAGACAGAACAACAGAUGGACAUUAGACAGGUCCAUUAGUGCUGACUCUAUAGGAGAGAGGAAGCAUUUUGAACUCCCUUCAGUUUUGCCAACUGAAUAGGCCACAGAUCCUGCUAUAGUUACAGGCCUCCACUAGCUCAUUCAUUAGUGCCAGGUCCAUCUUAUUAUUUGCUAAAAUAUCCCUUCACCUCUGUGUAGAUAGAAUUGGUAUCUCACUUGCAGACACUCUUGUGUUUACAAACUGUGGGUUACAACACAUUAGCGAGUGAUGAAGUUGGUUUAGUGAGUUACAAGCAACAUCAAAAAAAUAGAACAGCAGAUAAUUGAAGAGAAAGUAUCAUCAGUAAGGGGAAGUACUAUUACUUCAUAAAGUUGUUUAUAAAGUUGUAAAAAGUUUACUUCAUAAAGUUGUAAAACUA
rnacentral:lncRNA from 1 species